rnacentral:misc_RNA from 1 species
CAAUCUGAACUGCAUAUUUACUUAUUUGGAUUGAAGACCAUGCAUAGUUUACAAUUACACAUUUUUAAUAAAAAUAUCUUUUCUUUUUUGUUUUGCUGACUUGCAAAUAUUUUUUCUUGUGAUAUAUAGAUUUGUUGGUGUGUAAUUGUUUUUUUAGCAAAUGUUGGAUAAUUAUAUGAUUGCAUUUUCCCUUUUUCGAUGAUUAUUUUGAAGAUAAAAAGAUUCAUUUACCAUUGGCAUGCAACUGGAGUUAAUAAUAUUUGUUUCAUUUUUUGUUUGUUCGGAUAUUGAAUUGGAAGUGGAUAAAUUUUUCUGUAGGUGCUAUUUGAUGUCGUUCCAG